GUAACAAGGUUUCCGUAGGUGAACCUGCGGAAGGAUCAUUAAAUGAAUCAGUGCAUGCUUUAUGCGUACCACAAUUCAAACCCACUCUGCGUACCUUUCCUGUUGCUUCCAUGGGAGCGGCUAACCUUCCUCCUGCGUGGGGGAGGUCCCCCGAGACAAGCCCCUGCUAUCGAUGCAGGCGGUGUGGUCUUGGUCCAUGAAGACACCUUCCUGCGGAGGGUGUGAAGAAAACCAUUUGCAUUAUCUUGCCAUCAGUCUGAAUUUUGUUAAUAACAAUCGUUAAAACUUUCAACAACGGAUCUCUUGGUUCUCGCAUCGAUGAAGAACGCAGCGAAAUGCGAUAAGUAGUGUGAAUUGCAGAAUUCAGUGAAUCAUCGAAUCUUUGAACGCACAUUGCGCCUCCUGGCAUUCCGGGAGGCAUGCCUGUUCGAGCGUCAUAAAAACCCACUCAAGCUCUUUGGCUUGGUUAUGGAGGUUGAGCUACACCCUUCGGUGACCUCACCUUCGAAAUUGAGAGGCGGAUUGCCCCGUGUUGCCCUGGCGUUAUAAGUUUGCUCUUUCGCUUGGAUUCCAUGGUCGUCUUGCCACAAACCUUUAAUCUUCCAUGUUGACCUCGGAUCAGGUAGGGAUACCCGCUGAACUUAAGCAUAUCAAUAAGCGGAGGAAAAGAAACCAACAGGGAUUGCCUCAGUAACUGCGAGUGAAGCGGCAAAAGCUCAAAUUUGAAAUCUGACGUCACCUGGCGUUCGAAUUGU
rnacentral:rRNA from 1 species